AUGUCCCGCACCGGACCGAUCGCCCAGGACUGGGAGCCGGUGGUCGUGCGCAAGAAGCUGCCCAACGCCGCCGCCAAGAAGGACGAGAAGGCCGUCAACGCCGCCCGCCGCGCCGGCGUCGACAUCGACAUCGCCAAGAAGCAUAAUGCUGGGACAAACAAAGCUGCUCAUAGCACCACAUCGCUCAAUACAAAGAGGCUUGAUGAUGAUACAGAGAAUCUUGCUCAUGAGCGUGUGCCGUCAGACCUGAAGAAGAGCAUUAUGCAGGCUAGAACGGACAAGAAGCUCACACAGGCACAGCUUGCACAGCUGAUCAAUGAGAAGCCACAAGUCAUCCAGGAGUACGAGUCAGGCAAGGCUAUCCCAAACCAACAGAUCAUCGGCAAGCUGGAAAGGGCUCUUGGCACAAAGCUGCGAGGCAAGAAGUGA
rnacentral:rRNA from 1 species